rnacentral:rRNA from 1 species
GAUGAACGCUGGCGGCGUGCCUAAUACAUGCAAGUAGAACGCUGAAGCUUGGUGCUUGCACCGAGCGGAUGAGUUGCGAACGGGUGAGUAACGCGUAGGUAACCUGCCUGGUAGCGGGGGAUAACUAUUGGAAACGAUAGCUAAUACCGCAUAACAGUAGAUAUUGCAUGAUAUCUGCUUGAAAGGGGCAAUUGCUCCACUACCAGAUGGACCUGCGUUGUAUUAGCUAGUUGGUGAGGUAACGGCUCACCAAGGCGACGAUACAUAGCCGACCUGAGAGGGUGAUCGGCCACACUGGGACUGAGACACGGCCCAGACUCCUACGGGAGGCAGCAGUAGGGAAUCUUCGGCAAUGGACGGAAGUCUGACCGAGCAACGCCGCGUGAGUGAAGAAGGUUUUCGGAUCGUAAAGCUCUGUUGUAAGAGAAGAACGAGUGUGAGAGUGGAAAGUUCACACUGUGACGGUAUCUUACCAGAAAGGGACGGCUAACUACGUGCCAGCAGCCGCGGUAAUACGUAGGUCCCGAGCGUUAUCCGGAUUUAUUGGGCGUAAAGCGAGCGCAGGCGGUUAGAUAAGUCUGAAGUUAAAGGCUGUGGCUUAACCAUAGUACGCUUUGGAAACUGUUUAACUUGAGUGCAAGAGGGGAGAGUGGAAUUCCAUGUGUAGCGGUGAAAUGCGUAGAUAUAUGGAGGAACACCGGUGGCGAAAGCGGCUCUCUGGCUUGUAACUGACGCUGAGGCUCGAAAGCGUGGGGAGCAAACAGG